CGCAGCGGCCGGAGGAAGAUAGAGGCUGUGACUGAGUAAGGAAGCCAGCUACUUUUGAAACGACCAGCUCCAUAAUUCCUACUGAUAUUUAUCAGGAAAGAUGCAAGCUGUGCGUGAACAUGUCGAACGCCAAA